UUACUGGCCUUUCCUAACCGGCUGCUUUCUUUGGUAGCACGCAACAGGCCCUGGAACAGGCUAAGUCAGUGACUGGCGAACUAGAAGACCUGAAGGCUAUUGCAAAAAGUCUGGAAGAGGAGAAGGGCAAAUACUACUCACAAUCCCGGCAGCUGGAGAAGGAACAGCUGUGCCUCUCUCUACAAGUGGACUGUCUUCAAGAGGAGGCCCAGCUCUGUGAAUAUGAAACUCUCCUCUCCUGCAAAGACACUGCCCUUACUGAGAAAACAAACC
rnacentral:lncRNA from 1 species